UACGGAGGGUGCAAGCGUUGCUCGGAAUUACUGGGCGUAAAGGGUGAGUAGGUGGUCUUAUUUGUCGAAGGUGAAAUCCCUGGGCUUAACCCAGGAAGUGCCUUCGAAACGGUAAGACUUGAGUAUCGGAGAGGAUCGCGGAAUUCCCGGUGUAGCGGUGAAAUGCGUAGAUAUCGGGAGGAACAUCAGCGGCGAAGGCGGCGAUCUGGACGAUUACUGACACUCAAUCACGAAAGCGCGGGGAGCAAACAGGAUUAGAUACCCUGGUAGUCCGCGCUGUAAACGAUGGGUACUAGGUUUAGUGGGUCUUGACCCCCGCUGAGCCGUCGCUAACGCAGUAAGUACCCCGCCUGGGGAGUACGGUCGCAAGAUUAAA
rnacentral:rRNA from 1 species